rnacentral:lncRNA from 1 species
GCCUGUAUACUUCACCAAGGAUUACAUUUGAGCGCAAGGAGAUCUAUAUUGGUGAAUCGGUUUAUUAAUACCUUUGAACCCAGGGUCGAAGUUGUUUAAGUCAUACUGUGUCAUUGGGUCCUUAUCAUGCUCAUUGACGUUUACUCUUAAUUUAUCGAUGUGAAUAUGAAUGAAAAUCGUCAACAUAGAACAACCUUACCACACCCC